rnacentral:rRNA from 1 species
UACGAGGGGGGCGAGCGUUGUUCGGAAUUAUUGGGCGCAAAGGGCGCGUAGGCGGUGCGGUAAGUCACCUGUGAAACCUCUGGGCUUAACUCAGAGCCUGCAGGCGAAACUGCCGUGCUGGAGUGUGGGAGAGGUGCGUGGAAUUCCCGGUGUAGCGGUGAAACGCGUAGAUAUCGGGAGGAACACCUGUGGCGAAAGCGGCGCACUGGACCACAACUGACGCUGAGGCGCGAAAGCUAGGGGAGCAAACAGG